rnacentral:rRNA from 1 species
UACGUAGGGGGCAAGCGUUGUUCGGAAUUACUGGGCGUAAAGCGUACGCAGGCGGACCGUUAAGUCGGGUGUGAAAGCCCGGGGCUCAACCCCGGAAUUGCAUUCGAUACUGGCGGUCUUGAGUACGGGAGAGGUGAGUGGAAUUCCUGGUGUAGAGGUGAAAUUCGUAGAUAUCGGGAGGAACACCGGUGGCGAAAGCGGCUCACUGGCCCGAUACUGACGCUCAUGUACGAAAGCGUGGGGAGCAAACAGG